rnacentral:lncRNA from 1 species
CUUGAAUAUUAUUAUAGAUAGAGAUAAAUUGUAAACAGCAAUAAUGUUCAGCAAAGUAAGAUCUACAAAUAAGCUCAACAUGACCAAAAUGGUCAGUUGACCCCUUUAGGAGUUAUUGCCCUUUAUAGUCAAAUCUUUAACCAUUUUUCAUUAAUCUAAGUAAUCUUUUACAAAAUCUCCACUGAAACUACUAGGCCACAAUCAUCUUUGGGGUAUCUAGUUUGUAAAAAUGUGUCGAUGACCUGGCCAUUCAACCAAGAUGGCCGCCACGGCUAAAAAUAGAACAUAGGGG